CACACGAGUUUGAUCCUGGCUCAGAUUGAACGCUGGCGGCAUGCCUUACACAUGCAAGUCGAACGGUAACAGGCCUUCGGGUGCUGACGAGUGGCGAACGGGUGAGUAAUGCAUCGGAACGUGCCCAAUCGUGGGGAUAACGUAGCGAAAGUUACGCUAAUACCGCAUAAGCCCUGAGGGGGAAAGUGGGGGACCGCAAGGCCUCACGCGAAUGGAGCGGCCGAUGUCAGAUUAGCUAGUUGGUGGGGUAAAGGCCCACCAAGGCGACGAUCUGUAGCGGGUCUGAGAGGAUGAUCCGCCACACUGGGACUGAGACACGGCCCAGACUCCUACGGGAGGCAGCAGUGGGGAAUUUUGGACAAUGGGCGCAAGCCUGAUCCAGCCAUGCCGCGUGCGGGACGAAGGCCUUCGGGUUGUAAACCGCUUUCAGCCGGAAAGAAAUCGCCGUUUUUAAUACAGACGGUGGAUGACGGUACCGGAAGAAGAAGCACCGGCUAACUACGUG
rnacentral:rRNA from 1 species